rnacentral:rRNA from 1 species
GAUGAACGCUGACAGAAUGCUUAACACAUGCAAGUCGACUCGAGUCUUCGGACUUGGGUGGCGCACGGGUGAGUAACGCGUAAAGAACUUGCCUCUUAGACCGGGACAACAUCUGGAAACGGAUGCUAAUACCGGAUAUUAUGGUUUUUUCGCAUGGAGGGAUCAUGAAAGCUAGAUGCGCUAAGAGAGAGCUUUGCGUCCCAUUAGCUGGUUGGUGAGGUAACGGCCCACCAAGGCAAUGAUGGGUAGCCGGCCUGAGAGGGUGAACGGCCACAAGGGGACUGAGACACGGCCCUUACUCCUACGGGAGGCAGCAGUGGGGAAUAUUGGACAAUGGACCGCAAGUCUGAUCCAGCAAUUCUGUGUGCACGAUGACGUUUUUCGGAAUGUAAAGUGCUUUCAGUCGGGAAGAAGUCAGUGACGGUACCGACAGAAGAAGCGACGGCUAAAUACGUGCCAGCAGCCGCGGUAAUACGUAUGUCGCAAGCGUUAUCCGGAUUUAUUGGGCGUAAAGCGCGUCUAGGCGGCAAGGAAAGUCUGAUGUGAAAAUGCGGAGCUCAACUCCGUAUGGCGUUGGAAACUGCCUUACUAGAGUACUGGAGAGGUAGGCGGAACUACAAGUGUAGAGGUGAAAUUCGUAGAUAUUUGUAGGAAUGCCGAUGGGGGAAGCCAGCCUACUGUACAGAUACUGACGCUAAUGCGCGAAGCGUGGGUAGCAAACAGG